GUCUGCUGCAGGCUGCCUUUGACCUUAACUCCUGGUGACUGGCUCCUCACAGACUCAGGCCCUCACGGCCCGACUGAAGCAAGGCCCAGCAGAAACACCUGCUGCCUCCAGAGGCUGGGGCAAAAAAGGAGCGUGCCGCAUGGACCAAGUUACACAGCACCAUCCAAGAGAGCUAAAUAAGAGCUUAAGAUCACAACAGGGGGAAGGCCUUAGUAUAAUGUGGUGCUGCUAUAAUAGUCCUGGACUGUAAUGCUGCUACUCAACCAAGAGACUCGAGAAACAACACUAUAUCCUGUAUCCAGCAACGAAUGCUGAAGAACCUUUGCUGAAUGCCUUGCUUGAAUGCAAAUAGUGGCCUUUGGUUCACACAUCAUGGAUUUCCUGUUUCCUCUGUCCACUGUCUCAUUCCUCCUUAAGCCGCGUGCAGAACUAAGAUGUUACAAAUGGAUUUUCAUUUCUAAACCUGACUCUAUAACCAGAAGCAUUGAAGAUUGUUAUAGAAGUGGGGGAAAGUGCAAAAUUCUUGGUAAUUCAAAUUCCAUGCCAGAUACAGAACCCACAUGGAAUUCCAACCAUGCUGAACUUCACAAAAUGAAUAGCUUUGGUGUUGAGCAGUCGGCCCCUAUUGUGGUGUGCUCAACUGCAAUCAUUCCUUUAUUCAGAUGUCUCACAGAGUUCAGUGAGUUUCACUCCUGAAUGCAUAAAUUUCCUCAUCUCAUUUAUAGCAACUUGGGACUUUAGACUUCUCUCUUAAGUAAACACAGCCAGAGGAAAAAAGGAGGAGAAUUCCCCAUCUUUUCUCCUAUUAGCCAAUCAGAUGGAGGAGAAGGAUGCAAACUGGGAAGUGAUCAGCUCUAAAAAGGUUAGGGAAUUUUCUUUGUGCUUUUGCUACAUUCUCUUCAGACGUUAGGAGUGUUAAUUGCGAUAAAAAUCCUCCUUUCCUUUUACUGUAAAUUCCAUGGUUAUGGAAAAGAAUAUUUUAAGUAAUAAAGGCAAUUUCAGCAAUUAAAUAGUUUCAAUUAUUCAUGUCUAUGGUGACAAAUUAAC
rnacentral:lncRNA from 11 species